UUCAGUACGACAUUGCUCACAUUGCUUCCAGUAUUUUUGCCCGCCUCACUGAGUGCGGGCUUUUUUU
rfam:Citrobacter koseri ATCC BAA-895, complete genome.